GACGAACGCUGGCGGCGUGCUUAACACAUGCAAGUCGAACGAUGAAGCUAGAGCUUGCUCUGGUGAAUUAGUGGCGAACGGGUGAGUAACACGUGAGUAACCUGCCCCGAACUCUGGGAUAACUGCUGGAAACAGUAGCUAAUACUGGAUACGACCUACGAAGGCAUCUUCUGUAGGUGGAAAGAAUUUCGGUUCGGGAUGGACUCGCGGCCUAUCAGCUUGUAGGUGAGGUAAUGGCUCACCAAGGCGACGACGGGUAGCCGGCCCGAGAGGGUGACCGGCCACACUGGGACUGAGACACGGCCCAGACUCCUACGGGAGGCAGCAGUGGGGAAUAUUGCACAAUGGGCGCAAGCCUGAUGCAGCAACGCCGCGUGAGGGAUGACGGCCUUCGGGUUGUAAACCUCUUUUAGUAGGGAAGAAGCGAAAGUGACGGUACCUGCAGAAAAAGCACCGGCUAACUACGUGCCAGCCGCCGCGGUAA
rnacentral:rRNA from 1 species